CAGCCAGAUGUGGCUGCCUCCAAGUCAAUCAACAUCCUCUUAAAAGCGACCAAUGAGACCAGCUCAUUAAGUUUCAUCGAUUUCUGUAACUUGUUCCAUGUAGAGGGAGCAGCAAACUUAAACACAUUUUUCCCCAGCUCAGUUCUAACCUUUGGAACAGACAGAAGGAAAAGAUCCUGGGAACGGAGAUUGUAAGUCCCGGUACUAUUUACACUGAUAUAGGUCAGAAGGUAGGAUGGAAGGAGACCUAAAAUAGCCUUGUAUAUGAAGGUAUGCCAGUGUUGAAGUCUCCGUGUUGAUAGAGAAGGCCAUCCAACACGUUCAUACAGUUCACAAUGGUGAGUGAGGGCUUUAAGACCAGUGAUGAACCUCAGAGAUCCGUGGUAUACAGUGUCCAGUGCAUGUAAACUUUGAGACGAAGCAUGCAUGGAUAAAACAUCACCAUAGUCAAGUACAGACAUAAAAGUGUCAGCGACCAGCCUCUUUCUAGAUUUGAAUGAAAGGCAGGAUUUGAUUCUGAAAUAAAACCCUAGUUUAAGUUUUAAUCUUUUUGCUAGCUGCUGAAUAUGAAGGGUAAAAGAAAGAGAUUCAUCAAUUAAAAUACCAAGAUAUCUGUACUUA